rnacentral:rRNA from 1 species
UACGUAGGCAGCGAGCGUUGUUCGGAGUUACUGGGCGUAAAGCGUGCGUAGGCGGUGUCUUAAGUUUGUUGUGAAAUCUCCCGGCUUAACCGGGAGGGUGCGGCGAAUACUGAGAUGCUGGAGUGCCGGAGAGGUAAGCGGAAUUCCUGGUGUAGCGGUGAAAUGCGUAGACAUCAGGAGGAACACCUGCGGUGUAGACGGCUUACUGGACGGUAACUGACGCUGAGGCACGAAAGCGUGGGUAGCAAACAGG